CCUGAAAGGGCCUGCUUGAAACAUACACGGCAGCAAAAUCACUGGGGUCCACAGGGUUUUUGUCACACACACAGAGCACAGAUUUUUUUGAUUAUGUAGAUUUCUUUUCCUACUGCAGUUUCAUAUGCAAAGCAUGCAUCAGCCACAUCCAUGCUAUCUCCUAAAGCAGUCAUUCUGAAACCCAAUCUGGGGACAGUGCAGACUAAAUAAAAUUUCAUUUUGAUUUGGCCUCCCGCUGCGAACGGGACUGCUUUGUCUCAGCCGACAGAACCAGCAAGGCAGAAAGGUGUGGAAUACUAAAAUACUGACUGAAAGGAGAAUUGUACAGGCGCUGCUGUGAUGCUCCAGAGAUUUCACUGGAAGAUUUGUCAUGCUGAUUUUAUUGUAAAUUUGAAGACGCAUUUAACAGCUUUGAAGGACCUUAGCUUCCAUGGUCCUUUUGAGCCGCUUUGGCAGAAAAGCAAUCGCCCAUUUUAGAGAAGGGGAGAAAUAGAGAAUAAAGACUCUCCUCCAAUAGGACUGAACGGUUUUGCCAUCUUGGUAUGUUUUAUAAAAUGCAUAGUGGUGUUUUCCCGAAGAGCUGCCAAAUAUGGCUCUGCUUUAAACAAUGACCUUCACUGGGAGUCAUCUCAUGAGAGACUGUUGUAUCAAAUGUUCCUCUUACACUUGUCCCCCCUUUGGGAGAAUGUACUAGCAAUCAGGGACAACCUGCUGUGAUAUUCUCAGAAGAAGCUUUAGAUAAGAUGGCGAAGCACCAGGGGACUGACAGGUGGUGGGAACUCAGUUUUCAAGCCCAAAUUUAUCCUUGAAAUUGUUAUUGCCCUUCACCAAUUCAUAGGGUGCUAUAAAGGAAAGCAGUUUUUUCCCUGGCUCACAUAUUGGCAUAUCAUUAAUCUAAAUCAAAUUACAGCAAACUGGUAAAGAUGGAGAUAGAGUAAACGACAAAUAAAUUGCUUAAGAGAAGAGCAGAAAGAAAAGUUCACUCUGACUCUGGGGUUCUGCCUAAGUAAUUCCACAUAGGAUAUAGAUUAGCAGAUGAAAAAUACCAAUUAGCUUCAUAGGGACCUCACCCCACCCAUCCAGAGCAAACACAAAAAAAGUCACGUCAUGUAACUUUGCAGAGGGUCAAAAAUUAACUGUUGCCAAUCCGUAAUGUUGUGGCCAUUCUAGAGUUUUGAGGGGAGUGGUGCUCCAGGGGUACUUCCAGAUGCCAUUUCUGAAAUGUAAUGGCUGAGGUCUUUGCCAUUACAAUAAAUUAUCCUUUCACCGCAAAGUCUCUCAGUUCACUAUUUUGCACCUGUUAGCCAAGCGCUGUGGGAGAGAAGAGUCACCAAGAGCGUUAGUCAUUUGUUGAUAGACUCCCUACUUACUACAUACAACAGAUUGAAGAACAAAAUGAAAGUUAGUUAAAGAAGACGUUGAAGAAACAAUAGUGUGAAAACAGCAUGAGAUGUCAUUUGGUAAAUAUGCCACAGCCUCGCAUAAGGAAGAGGAAAAUGGCAGUGUGGGCCAUGACUGGCAGGCCUGGAUCCAUAGACUGUGAUUUCCAGGAUCACCCAACAGAUGAAGACGUAUAUCCAGCUAGAAUCAUUUGUCCUUAAACCAGGUUAAGUUGCCGUCCAUGUCAGGACAGAGGUCAUGUACAGGUACAGUCAAAACUUAAAAUCUUGUAAAUUACAUAUAAAAUUAUUUGAAGCUCUUUAACACCUGAUAGCACCAAAUAAUACAUUCUUUGGAUAGCUUCACAGCAACAUUGCCUAUGGAGCAAAUUGGGGCAAUACACGGAAGAGGCAUUUUUUAUUUUAUUUUUUGAAAAGUGGUCCCUUCAUCCCUCUGGAAUAACUUUUAUUUAUUUAGGAACUCCUCAUUCUGGCUUUCUGAAUCUGAUGUGGAAGAUGGGCAUUGUUUGGACAUCACAGUUCUUUAGUAAAGGUGGUUUGGCCAAGCAAAAUCCCAGGCAAAUUCUGUUUUGAAUUCCCUUGGCCUCCACAGAAGCCAUCAAUUUCAGCUACCUUCUGUCUGGAUGUCCCUUGCCAACAAUUUGCUGCUUGAUCAUUGUUUCCAAUUGCUAAAGUGACCCUUAACUAUGGCUGCUAGAGAAUUCCCUGGUUCCCUCAAAUCGAUGGAGAAAUCCUAGAACAGUGGGAUUUUUUUGUUGUUUUUUUACUAGCCAUGUGCUCCGUGCAAAUUCUUUGAUUGUUGCAUGUUCUCGUGUCCUAAAUAGGUACUCUAGUACUCAGAAUGCUGGUGAUGUGACCUCAAAAAAGGAGGUGCGGCUGUGAAGACAAGAUGCUGUCUAUGAAGGCCUGCGGGGCCUGCCAAAGGCUAUCUUUUACAGCACCAGAGAGGAGCAGUUUUUUAGCUUUUGUUCACUGCCCAAAUGUUUUGGGAGAAAUCUGUGCUAGAGUGGCCAAAAAGGAAUAGAACCUACUCGCGUGUACAUUCGUUAGGUUAUAUUAUCUGAAAAACUAAGCAUAUUAUUUUAUAGAAUUAUCACCUCUAGCAAAGCCCAGCAAAGAAACUUCGACUCCUAUACCAAGAAUGGAAAAGAACGACCCCGAGAAGGGACAGCUUCAUCUACUUUUGCACUCAGGCUGGAGUGACUCUGCCCUGUUUUGUCUCCUCAGUUCUGCAGGCUCCUUAGCAGCCGUGGAGGAACGCCACAGGUGGUCUCACAAGUCCUGGACUCUGCCUCAGUGAAAAAUUGGAGAGAAGCUGCUUUUUGGUGGUUGUUUGAACUUUCCACGAAGAGAGUUCGGAUACAGCGUUUAUGUGUGUUAAAAAAGUUCGCAGCAUUUGCCCGCUUAGGAAUGUAUGCAUUCUCUCUACAUCUUUCUACAUCUAUUGCACGUCUUCCCCAUAGCAGGCACCAUUAAGACUCGGGGGGCCACGAAGUAUGUAUCUGGGAGCACUUGCCAGAACAGAGAGACAGACGGGCAAGCGUAUAAUUGAAAUACAAGGAGAUCAUGUUUGUAAUCGAGAUAUUAAGUGACUGCUAUGAGAGGACUGCUCAAUGAGCCACCAGCGAGCUCCCUGGGGGUCAGGUCACACCUCAGUGGAAUGUGAUAUUUGAGCUUCAGGUACUCUACGGUUUACAUACAGCUCGACCCCACCAAAUCUCAUGUUGAUAUGUGGUCCCCGUGUGCUGGUGGGGAAGGUGGGGCCCGGUGGGAAAUGUUUGGGUCAUUGACGGGGUUUCCUUUAUGAAUGGCCUGGAAUGGGUCUCAUGGUAGGGAGUUCUGCUCUCCUUAGACUGGAUUACUUCUCGUGAGAAUAAACUGAUUCCCCUGAGAGGGGGCUGUUAUAAAGCGAGGACCCCCUCGGAUUUUGCCCUUUCUUUGUUGACCUUCGUCCAUGCUACGACCCAGCACAAAAGCCCCCACCGGAAGCUGAGCAGAUGCUGGCACCAUGUCCCAUGAACUUCCCACCCCGUGGAACCAUGAGCUACAGAAAGCUCUCUUCUUUAUGAAUUACUCAGUUUCGGCCGGGCGCGGUGGCUCUCGCCUGUAA